rnacentral:tRNA from 1 species
UGGGCGGACGUAGGCAAGUG